rnacentral:rRNA from 1 species
UACGUAGGUGGCAAGCGUUGUCCGGAGUUAUUGGGCGUAAAGCGCGCGCAGGCGGUGCGGUAAGUCUCUGGUGAAAGCGCUCGGCUUAACUGGGCGAGGGCCGGGGAGACUGCCACGCUGGAGGGGAGCAGAGGCGAGUGGAAUUCCGGGUGUAGUGGUGAAAUGCGUAGAGAUCCGGAGGAACACCAGUGGCGGAGGCGGCUCGCUGGGCUCUACCUGACGCUGAGGCGCGAAAGCGUGGGGAGCGAACCGG